rnacentral:miRNA from 1 species
GAGUUUUUCAAAGACUAUCAAAAUUGCACGAUUCCGAAGGACGAGUGCAAUUUGAAGUCUUUGAAAAACUC